ensembl:lncRNA
AAGAGAGUGGAGGUCAGUAAUCUCUGGGGAGAUGAAUGAUGGAGGCAACAACGGUAACGGAAUGUUCAGGACACCAGUUAAACCGCAGCAGAGUAACUCAUCCAGUCUUAAAGGAACAGAGCCACAUUCCUGGCAAUCUACUUAUGUGGAAUAUUCAUAAUGAAUGCAGGACUAAAGAGUUGCUCAAGCAGAAGAGGCCAGACAAUCCUGAACAUCUGCCAUAAUGUUGCAACCUUCACACAUUGCAUAUUUCUGUGAAGGGGAAGAGUGAUAUUACUAACACACACUCAAAUUGUUGGGGUGGAUUUGAUAAACAUGAAGCUGUUACACUUUAAUUUCAAACAGCAUUUGGGGUAGUAUUCUUCAUACAUUUAACUGAGAACUUGAGAAUGGGUAAUCAGUUCCUUGUUAAUUCUUUCUUUAAUACUAGGCAUGAUUCUUUAAGCGUGAUUUCUGUGGAGAGAGCAGAGUCCCUCUACACUUUUGAACUCAGUGUUAUGCUUUAAAACUCCUAUGCAGUGAGGAAUGCCUACAUUGUUUCCAUUUCCUGACAUUGUGCACUCUCCUCGGUCAAGCACUGGAAAAAGUCUGUCACCUAAAUUCCAUAAAACACGUUGAAGAACGGAUUCUUACCAAGCAUUCAGGUCCAAUUCUCUUAUUAAAUCAUUUCACAGAAAGAUUAUAAAAAAAAUACCAAUACAACACACGAGUGAUCGGUUUAAAAAAAAGCAAUUCAAUAAAAUCCCUUACAGUUCAAUCAUUGUAUCCUUGUGAAAGACCAUGUUCUAAAAUCUGUGGUUGGCUUUUGCCAUAGAGAAGGGCUUGAGGGCUUGCCAAGUAGCCUCAGACUUGUUAGGGCUAAUACAUCUUUAAGCCUUGCC